ensembl:lincRNA
AGUUAGAGGAGAGCUCACCUCCAGACAGGACGGACAACAGCAGCCCAGCCCAGAGCAUCAUGGGAUUGGUCUCUCUGCAGGGAGGGGGCGCAGAAGGAAGAGGUUAAAAACUAAAUUAAAAAAGGGAAGAGAGAGGUUCAGUACGGAGUAGAGACUCCGAUUCCGGUCCGUACCCGAGACCUUGAGACCCGACCCGACCCGGAAAUCGGUCCCUUCUCCUCCCACUGUAGAACUGUACAAAAAAAAGUCAGGUUUUACUAAGGAACCAGUACAGGUUGCUGUACCUGUGCUGAAGAGAGACACAGCGUUUCGGCUGGGGAGCUUUAUUCAAUAUUUGCAGCCCCUCUCCGCUUUUACAGGCUACAGUGUUUACUUUAAGGGAGGAAUAUGGCGUGGUUAACUUCCGUAUGAUCUGCACCGAAGCCAGUUACAGUCCCUGGAGAGAGCGACGCCCUGUCUUGCUGGACAGCUACCGAAGCAAAUAUUUCCUCGGGAGAGUCAUGCAACUGGCUGGGGUUAUAUUUCUGGAUUGAUAUUAUAUCUCUGGACUUUGGAGCACACACGCGAGGAGCAGGACCAAAGCACAGUAUCGCGGGCGCCACCUAGCGGCCGUUGGUGCUGCGAAAGAGGAGGACCGGCAGCUUCGCGGUUUCUCUCCCGGAGUUCGUCGCCCCGCAUUCGGCGUGAGACCGCCAGCCGAGGCCGUGGUUUCAAAGGAGGCCUGGCGGUCAGGGCGGUGGUGAGCCGGUGGGUCUCAGUCUCUCUCCACAGCCCCUUCAGCUCCUGUCUCGGUGUCGAAGGGGGCGUCCAAUCCCACGAUGCUCUGGGCUGGGCUUCUGUUGUCUGUCCUGUCUGGUGGUGAGCUCUCCUUUCUGGGUCUCUGUGCGUCUGAAUUCAGUCGGGGCAGAGAAAUAGUGUGCUGUGUUGUGUGUGUAUAAGAGUGCGCUGUGGUGCUGUGUUGCCGUGUUAUGUGUAUAAAAGUGUGCUGUGUUGCGUGUGUGUACAAGAGUGCUGUGUUGCCUGUAUACAGUAAGAGUGUGCUGUGUGUGUAUGAGAGUGUUGUGUUGUUGUGUGUAUAAGUGUGCUGUGUUGUGCUGUGUGUGUAUGAGAGUGUUGUGUUGUGUGUAUAAGAGUGUGCUGUGUUGUGCUGUGUGUGUAUGAGAGUGUUGUGUUGCUGUGUUGUGUGUAUAAGGGUGUUGUGUUGCUGUGUUGUGUGUGUUUGAGAGUGUUGUGUUGUUGUGUGUAUUACAGUGUUGUGUCGCUGUGUUGUGUUGCUGUGUGUACUAGAGUGUUGUGUUGCUGUGUGUAUGAGAGUGUUGUGUUGCUGUGUGUACUAGAGUGUUGUGUUGCUGUGUUGUGUUGCUGUGUGUAUUAGAGUGUCGUGUUGCUGUGUUGUGUGUAUAAGAGUGCCGUGUUGCUGUGUGUAUAAGAGUGUCGUGUUGCUGUGUGUACUAGAGUGUUGUGUUGCUGUGUUGUGUGUAUUAGAGUGUCGUGUUGCUGUGUUGUGUUGCUGUGUGUACUAGAGUGUUGUGUUGCUGUCUCCCUCAGUCUCGGCGGCUCCUGUCUCCGUGUCGGUGAGGUUUGGGGGCUCAGUCUCUCUCCCCUGUGACGGAUCUGCCUACAGGGG